CAAGUCGAACGCGAAAGUGGAGCAAUCCAUGAGUAGAGUGGCAAACGGGUGAGUAACACGUGGGUGACCUGCCUUCGAGUGGGGGAUAACGUCCCGAAAGGGACGCUAAUACCGCAUGACAUCCUGCCCUUGAACGGGUGGAGAUCAAAGCUGGGGAUCGCAAGACCUAGCGCUUGGAGAGGGGCCCGCGUCCGAUUAGCUAGUUGGUGAGGUAACGGCUCACCAAGGCAACGAUCGGUAUCCGGCCUGAGAGGGCGGACGGACACACUGGGACUGAGACACGGCCCAGACUCCUACGGGAGGCAGCAGUGGGGAAUUGUUCGCAAUGGGCGCAAGCCUGACGACGCAACGCCGCGUGGAGGAUGAAGAUCUUCGGGUCGUAAACUCCUUUCGAUCGAGACGAACGGCUUCCGUGCUAAUCAACGGAAGAGUGACGGUACCGAGAGAAGAAGCCCCGGCUAACUCCGUGCCAGCAGCCGCGGUAAUACGGGGGGGGCAAGCGUUGUUCGGAAUUACUGGGCGUAAAGGGCUCGUAGGCGGCCAACUAAGUCAGACGUGAAAUCCCUCGGCUUAACCGGGGAACUGCGUCUGAUACUGGAUGGCUUGAGGUUGGGAGAGGGAUGCGGAAUUCCAGGUGUAGCGGUGAAAUGCGUAGAUAUCUGGAGGAACACCGGUGGCGAAGGCGGCAUCCUGGACCAAUUCUGACGCUGAGGAGCGAAAGCCAGGGGAGCAAACGGGAUUAGAUACCCCGGUAGUCCUGGCCCUAAACGAUGAAUGCUUGGUGUGGCGGGUAUCGAUCCCUGCCGUGCCGAAGCUAACGCAUUAAGCAUUCCGCC
rnacentral:rRNA from 1 species